UAACGAUAGCGCGGUAUGCUCUAGAUUAGCGUGUGGUUCUAUAGGAUCUCACACUGGCCUGGUUCAGUUUGACAUGCCUAAUACAUAGCAAGUCGAGCGAACAGAGAAGGAGCUUGCUCCUUCGACGUAGCGGCGGACGGGUGAGUAACACGUGGGCAACCUACCUUAUAGUGGGAUAACUCCGGGAAACCGGGGCUAAUACCGAAUAAUCUAUUUUACUAUCAUGGUNGAAAUACUGAAAGACGUGUUUCGGCUGUCGCUAUAAGAUGGGCCCUGCGGCGCAUUAGCUAGUUGGUAGAGGUAACGGCUCACCAAGGCGACUGAUUGCGUAGCCGACCUAGAGAGGGUAGAUACGGCCACACUGGGACUGAGACACGGCCCAGACUCCUACGGGAGGCAGCAGUAGGGAAUCUAUACCACAAUGGGCGAAAGCCUGAUGGAGCAACGCCGCGUAGAGUAGAAGCAAGGUUUUCGGAUACGUAAAACUCUGUUGUAACGGGAAUGAACAAGUACAGUAGUAACUAGGCUGUACCUUGACUGGUACCUUAUUAGAAAGCCACGGCUAACUACGUAGCCAGCAGCCGCGGUAAUAACGUAGGUAGGCAAAGCGUNGUCCGGAAUUAUUGGGCGUAAAAGCGCGCGGCAAGGCGGACCUNAAAGUCUGAUGUGAAAGCCCACGGGUCAACCGUGGGANGGUCCUUUGNGAAAACUUGGNGGGACUUGNAAGUAGCAGCAAGAUNGAACGUGGNAAUUUCCAAUUGACGGUUGAAAUUGCUAGACAGANUUGGAGCGAACACAGUGGGCNAAGGCACUAUCGGGUCGAAUGACAGCUGAUGCGCGAANCUUGGGACAACCGAUAAGACCCGGUCCNCCCUGAANNCGAGACACACUGAAACG
rnacentral:rRNA from 1 species